rnacentral:rRNA from 1 species
UCUACGGGUGGCAGCAGUGGGGAAUAUUGGACAAUGGGCGAAAGCCUGAUCCAGCCAUGCCGCGUGUGUGAAGAAGGCCUUCGGGUUGUAAAGCACUUUCAGUGGGGAAGAAAGCCUUGGGGCUAAUACCCUCGAGGAAGGACAUCACCCACAGAAGAAGCACCGGCUAACUCCGUGCCAGCAGCCGCGGUAAUACGGAGGGUGCGAGCGUUAAUCGGAAUUACUGGGCGUAAAGCGCGCGUAGGCGGUCUGAUAAGCCGGUUGUGAAAGCCCCGGGCUCAACCUGGGAACGGCAUCCGGAACUGUCAUGCUAGAGUGCAGGAGAGGAAGGUAGAAUUCCCGGUGUAGCGGUGAAAUGCGUAGAGAUCGGGAGGAAUACCAGUGGCGAAGGCGGCCUUCUGGACUGACACUGACGCUGAGGUGCGAAAGCGUGGGUAGCAAACAGGAUUAGAUACCCGGGUAGUC